rnacentral:ncRNA from 1 species
AUGUAUUCUGUUCGUUUAAGGUAAACAGGCAAUAAAAAAGCAGGAAAUCCUUCCAAAUUGUGGGCUUUUUUGUUGUGUUUAUCUUUGCGGGCAAGGACAUGGAAAACAGGCGGGGUAUAGCCAUUUCAGGCUAUCCUUGUUGUUGUUUGUCUUUUUUCGUUGAUAUGCAGAUCGAAAGCCCAUCUAGAGGCUGGCGAUCUGCAUUUUUUAU